rnacentral:lncRNA from 15 species
GAAGGGAAAAUAAUACAGACAGCCUGAACCGGCCACGGCCCGGGGGGGGGGGCUCUGAAUAUUCACACCUGAAACAGCUAAUACAGCAGGUAGCAGGGCCUCAAUAAUCACUGAUAUUCAGACUAAUCAAUACCUGAGUGGUAUCAGCUCAGGAAGGAGAUCCACUCCUACUUGGUCGUAAACAUUGUACCUGUAAACAUUACACCUGUAAACAUUACACCUGUAAACAUUACACCUGUAAACAUCAGCAUAUUAGCAUGCUAACUUUAGCAUUUAGCUCAAAGCACUGCUGCUAGCUUGAUCUGCUCCUUGCUGUAUUAUUUAUCUGUUUUAUAUAUACAGUAUAAAGAGUAUGUUUAUAUAUAUACAUAUAAACAUACUCUUUAUAUACAUAUACAUAUAUAUAUCUAUAUAAAGAGCCAUGUACAGUAUAUAUAGUCUUACAUUACUGAUGGAACAAUGCUCUGCUGUUAUCCACUGAGUGUUCACAGACGGUAAAACAGGCUGGGGUUUUAUAGCACAGUCUGUAAAAACUAUUAACGUGGCAGAUUUACACAACACUAAAAUUACAGACAUGCUCCGGUGACGAUUACAGUUCCCCGCCUCCUCGCCGUAACACUAAUCCCGUCCGAAUAGGGCUCACGAGAAAGCAGAGGCACGUCCUAACAGGGAUUAGUGAGGUUAAAAAAGAAACUCGCUUCUUCUGCAGAGUAAAAGGAGCUAUCGAGGAGCAGGUAUUAGGCUCGGUGACGGCGUGCUGCUCCGCUGCUGUCAUCAGGCCGUGGGAAGUUGUGGCGGUGGGAUUGCAGACGACUGAGCAGAAGACCCUCCGACGUGCAGUAGAAAUGCUGGGAUGGUGGCGAACUCUCUGGUUGGCUAUAAGAUUACCCAGACUCCAUCAGUCAGCGAGGCUGUGGGAGAGAUCGGGUUGAUCCUCCUCUCAACUCUGGAGCCGAUCUGACCACAAACAUCCUCACCAGCGAAGCUCUUUAUUUAAGCUCCUGGUUGAACAGCAGCUCCGCUCUGAAGGACGUCAGAGAACACGAGACACCGAAGAACAACCCCAACGGCCGCUUCCUCCUCGGCCGCAGUUGAACUCAGCUUUCUGUCACGCUGCGGUUUAUGAAAAAAAAAAACCAACACAAACCAACUUCUGUCUGACUUCCUGUAGUAAAACGGUCGUCUGCUCAGCCGAGCAACAACAACGAAAACAGGAAGAGAGCAUGUGGUGAGCUGCAGCAUGACAAGGCACUUUAAUAAAGUAACACGCCUCUGCAGUAAACAGGAAGCGAGUGUAGCAUCGCUGCAACAUAACUUCACAAUGUGGAAGUUUUAGGUUGUAAAUAAUGUUUGUAAAAGUACUGACAGUCAGAUUUACAUGAAACCACAUUUCUGUCAGUUGUUCACCUCCCAAACCCUAAAGGCUCAUCAUCGUCACUGUCACACACAUCAGUCUCUCUUCUGCUAUUAAAGCAACCAGCUGACAGUCUCAUUGUAGUUCUUUUAAAGUCUCAUUGUAGUCAUUUUUACAUCUAUUACGUCUUUUUCUGCAUCUGUUUGUCGUUGAUCAGUUUCUCAUUGUAGUCACCUUUCAUUUUGUUCAUUUUGUUCGUCUGUAGUCAUUUUUUACAUCUUUUUGUGUUGUUUUCCGUCUCUUUGUGCCUCAUCAUGAGUCUCGUUGUAGUCAUUUUGUGUCUCUUUGUGGCCUCCCGAGCACUACUGCAGUUGACUCUAAGAUAUCAACCAGGCGUCUGCAGAGUAAAAUCUCAUUAUUAUCACUGUUGUCUCUCUCAGACGUGGAUUCAACGAGACCAUCAGUCUCUCUUCUGCUCUUCAAGCAACCUGCUGACCUCUUGAAACAAAGACAGUCUCAUUGUAGUCGUUUUGUGUCUCUUUGUGGGUUUUAUUGAGUCUCUCUGCAGUCAUUUUUACAUCCUACGUCUUUUUCUGCAUCUGUUUGUCGUUGAUUAGUUUCUCAUUGUAGUCACCUUUCAUAUUUUUAGUCAUUUUUACAUCUUUUUCUGUUGUUCUCCCUCUUUAACCUGCGUUCUCUUUUUUUAUUGUAUUUUUGUAUUUAUUUAUUGUAUUAUGUUUAUGCAAUUUUUCCUUUAUUCUAAGUUAUUUUAGUGUGCACACACAUGUCCGUGCCUGGCACUACGUGUGUGCAGCCAUGUGUUUUUGUGUCUUUCUAAUGGGAAGUGAGAUUGGGG